rnacentral:rRNA from 1 species
CCUACGGGAGGCAGCAGUGGGGAAUAUUGGUCAAUGGGCGCAAGUCUGACCCAGCAACGCCGCGUGAAGGAAGAAGGCUUUCGGGUUGUAAACCUCUUUUAUCAGGGACGAAGCAAGUGACUGUACCUGCUGAAUAAGCCACGGCUAACUACAUGCCAGCAGCCGCGGUACUACGUAGGUGGCAAGCGUUAUCCGGAUUUCCUGGGUGUAAAGGUCGUGUAGGCGGGAGUGCAAGUCAGAUGUGAAAACUCUGGGCUAAACCCAUCGCGUGAAUUUGAAAUUGUACUUCUUGGGUGCUGAGGAGGGAAUCGGAAGUCCGGGUGUAGCGGGGAAAGGGGGAG